UGGGCAAAAGUGUACACUACAGUUGAGGAU
rnacentral:piRNA from 1 species